rnacentral:lncRNA from 1 species
AUUAUCAGUAAAAUCCACAUAGGUCAGAAAUACAUAGGAAUUCCAAAAAAAGGGCUAGUGCGGAAUAAAUAGAAAGACACAAAUAGUCAUUUCUGGAUAGAACUGAGGGGAAAAAACAAAACAAAAAUGUCUCGCAUACAUAGACUAAGUAUAUUCUCGCAGGCAUGUUCCUAAGUAUAUAUCUAAUAACAAAGAUGUGAUGUCGAUCAAUUAAACAGAAGUUAAUAGUAGUAGGUUGUCUGUAAAGUCAAGUGACCAUGUUGUUUCUUUCCUUGGAAUAAAAGAUGGUGUAAUCUUCUCCAUGGUCUUUAGUCUUCAGCUUUCAACCAUUGUAUAUGACAUUUGGUUGAUCUGCACUUCAAUUGAUAGAUUCGUAAAGCCUUGUAUUACAGUUACCGACUUAGUGUGUACUGCUCCAAUAGACAUGGGAAGUCACAAGCAGCUGUAUUUCUCUGGAAGAACAAAACAAGCCUCUCAAAUUGACAAAGAGGGGGGAGAGCUGCAUCUCAUAGCUACAUAGAGGAAAUCCGGAUCAUGGCUGCUCAGUUCGAAGUGGAUAUUAACAAACAGAAAAAGGAGAAGUUAUCACAGCAUCUGUCAAGCUGCAACAUUAGCUUGCUAAUGUUUAUUAGGUAUGCAACACAUAACAUACUUUAAGCCUCAAGCCAUCAACAAUUCCAAGUCCAGGAAUUAUAUGAGCAUCAAUAGUACUAAGUAUAUUGCUCUCAUGUGUAGAAUAUUCAUCUUGAAAGGAAAAAACUAAGCAUAGUGCGCGAAUAUGCAAAUAGAAUGGAAGGAUAGGGAAUAACACAUUUCUCACCAUUCGUCUUGCAUACUGAAUGUGUUUUCAAUGUCAGCAAACUUGCGGUUCUCGGAGAUCAAAAGGUUGCGCUUCUCAGCAAUCUUCAAAAAGAGUUCAUAAGAUCCCAUUAUAUAAAGGAUGCUGAAUUUGCAUAUUCAAUAGUGAACAACUCUGGUAACUAAAUAAAGGAGGCAUCUACCCAUAAUCAUAAGAGAAUUACAUCCUGUACUUGCUAAACUGAUCCUUCUCCUAGUAGUUGGCGUCCCCCCCCCUCCAUAAACAUGGCAGAAAUCAUCCAUCAACAGAGCUUAAAACAGGAUGGGAGGUGAAAAAAGCUCGUCAAGUUGAACCCACAAGCAUGGACGCUAUACGAUAUUAGAAGAAAAAGCAUGGAAAAUUUCAUAGCUAGUAGAGCAGGAGCAUUGCUACUCAAACCUAAAAAAAUUGAGGAUUGCAACUCAGAUCUAAUAAAAAGUUCACAGCAUUGAAGUUCAUAUGAACAUCAAUUCACUGUAACUACCUUUCUGGGCGGGUCACCUCGCUCUCGUGUAAACCGCAGCCACCGCCCAACGUCGCCGCCUUCCUCUUCUCUCCUGAG